ensembl:lncRNA
CAGACUUUCAAACGCCAUUAGACCAAACAAACCAAGAUACACCCAGCAGCACGCUGGGUGCUCACUCCCAAAAGGGAGACUACUUUAGACUACUUUAACAAAAAAUAACUCAAACAAAGAGAAAAACUAAAUCAUAAAAAAGAAACCACAAAUACAGAAAAGAUAGAAAAGGUAGAGAGAGAACACACUCAAGCCAAACGGCUACGUGCACACGCUCUCACACUCGCAAACGCCACGCCCACUCACUUCCGCAUCCGCUCAGAGAGAGAGAGAGAGAGAGGGAGGGAUAGAGACACAGAGGUAGAGAGAGAGAGAGAGAGAGAGGGAUAGAGACACAGAGGUAGAGAGAGAGAGAGAGAUGGAUGAAGACACAGAGGUAGAGGUAGAGAGAGAGAGGGAUAGAGACAGAGAGGUAGAGAGAGAGAGGUAGAGAGAGAGAGAGAGAGAUGGAUAGAGACACAGAGGUAGAGAGAGAGAGGUAGAGAGAGAGAGAGAUGGAUAGAGACACAGAGGUAGAGAGAGAGAGAGA